CAAUACCACCAGACUAGGAGCAGUUAUGAAACCUGAUUGUGCAAAUGAUUUUAGCUCGUGCUUUCUCCUCACUCUUUGAGGAGAUUACUCUCAGGAGUAAAGCCUUGCAGGAUAUGUUUUGUUCUUACUGCAGCUGCCAAAAGCUGAAGGCAACCACUUUAUCUGCAAGACAAUAUUCAUUUAUGGGACUUCACUGGUGACAUAGGUUUGAAAACAGGAAAAUAGGCUUAAAGCCUUCCUCAGGAGAGAGAUUUACUCACAGUUUUCUCCAGUGUCAUUCAGGGGCCAACUCUGCAAGUCUGCCAGAUUUGGAUUUGUUUUGAUUUCACUGCAAAAUCCUGCAAAAAUUCUGCCAACAGCAAGGCCAAUGUGUUUGAAAGCAAACGGCAUUUCCAGUACCUAAAGCCUGGUCAGGUUGAUUGCUUUGAGUCUGUAAGGUCAUCAUGGUUGAAGGCAUGAAGAUGAGGACAUCAAAGCCUUUGCCCACUUCUGACAAUUACUCUGGAGGCAAACACAGCUCAGAAGACAAAUGUUAUGAGCUACCUGUAAGUUCUGGUUCACAAAACAGAUGAGAAUCCAGAGUUACUUCUGAACUUGGAAAUGAAAUUUAUUCUCAAGGUGGAGCCUCAUCUUGAGUAGCCUUGGGAGGGUCAAAGGUUUGAAAGAGCUGUACAGUCAGCUUGGAGAUCACGAGCAUUGUCUUUUCAGAGUGGAAAAGUUCUGUUCAGAGAUUUCCAGCCAGAGAAAUCCAUAACAAUUUCUGUCUGAUUAGGGAGUGGUCCUAUCUUUUUCCCUUUCUUUUCUUUCCCUUCUCCUUCCUGCACAGCAGCUAAUGUUCUGGUCAGAAGUAAUAAUAUGUUAGAUCUUGAAUGUCAGUAGCCCCAGAGAUCCUGACAAGACUAUUCAUGUGCAUUCAUACGUCUUAACCAAAGCUGACACUAAAGAGAGCAAGAAUUCUCAUAUUCCUCUUUUUAUUUCCGUGCAUUAAACUCAAAUCUUCUCUUGGAGACCUCUGCUAGAAAUGACACAUUCACCAUUAGAAAAAGGCAUUUUAGCAAGGUCUAAACAAAGCAGCUGGACAUCAGUCUGGCUCAGGGCUGUGAGAGCCUCUGCUUUACACCUCACAAAUGUUGUGAGAUAAAUACCAAUGGGAAAUAACCAUUCCUCCCAAUCUUUCUAAAUUUCAAUUAAAAAUUAAGUGAUCUGAUUUUAUUUUUUUUUUUAACUAUGGGACGUGUCCUUAUAGGGAUAUUUGGAUUCUGGUAACUCGAGGCUGUUUUCUAAGAAACACACAGUGAGUGAAUAUUCUGCUCCACUUUUUACUCUGCACAUAUUUUACACACACUUGUAGGAUGGUGUAUAGCACAUGUUUGGCUAAUUUUGCAGGGAUCUGAUUAAGCUGUUAAAACCAGGUAGGCAAUUUUGUCAGCAAUGAUAUUUUUAAUCUUCUUUUUAAAAAUGGUUUGGUAGUAGUUACUAAGGCAGACUAGGUGGCUCUGGGCAGCUCGCCAUUUUUAGGUAGUUUAAUUUGUUAAAAAUUAUCUUUCUUCCCACCCAAAUCCCCUUGAAACCAUUUGGAGAGGAGAACUGUUGAACAGUUGCCAGUAAUAAGUCCUGCUGAGACCUCUGUAUCCUCCUGACAGAAAUGUUGGUGCCAACUGGAGACUGACUGGCACGAGUUUGAACUCUACACUGCUUGAUAUAUUUACUUCACAUGCACCAAUUACAAUAAUUACCACCUCUGUAGCUGAAGUUUAAGCACUCGGUCUGCACUCCAUACCUCAGCUUGUUGGCAGUAUGUUCAAUCCUAUAAUCUCAAUUUUCUUGGAAUAAUUAAGUAGAAAAUAAAUACUUCAAAAAAUUAGGAGAGAGUCUGAAUGGAAAUCAGAGGCUGAAUAAUAGAGUUGUUUGUCAUGUUGCUAUUGUUAAGCUGCAUUUAUUUCUAUUUAAUCUUUAUUUCUAAAAGGCAGCAUCUUCUUUUGCCUGCAGAGAUUCAUCAGGAGAUGCUGUAAUCCACUGAUUUUUAUUUUCAGCAGUGGAGUAUCUCUUGAUGUGAAUGAAAAAGCAACAUGAACUCCUACUUUAGAUGUUUUAAAAAUAUAUUCCUUUCAAAAUAAAUGCUUUUGACUAGAAGGGGAAAACACCCAUCCCUUACUUCUUUUGGCUGGAAGUUUCCAUGAGAGAUUGUAGGGAUUUAGUACCAGGACUGGCUUUAACUGCCAGUUCCUGAUAAUUCCUGGUUAAAAUCUGAUGCAAUGGGGACCAAUUCUCCCCCACCCUUGUUGUCUUUCCAAGAGACUGGUUAAUUUUUAAAUUGGAUCAGCAACAUUAAAAAAAAUUGGUAAAGUUUUCUAUUACACAAAGAUAAAUCUUAGACUGAGCACAAACUGACUUGCCUGUAGCUUUCCUAAUGUGAUUGCACUGCACAGAGUAGACACUAAAAUUUAUAUUAAAAUUUCUUUAUGCGGGUUCCCUCUAGGGAGAGGAAGAGGGAAGGAAAGAGCUUCAUGUGACAGAUGCUAAUUAUGCAGCUUAAUGCACUUCUGGAAGUUGCAGAGAUGAGAACUCUAUAAGAACCUAUCUACAAAACAAAGCACAUUUUCAACAGCAUUUUUUUCCUCAAUUCUUUUUUAAUCUGCCUCCUCUCUGUU